UUCCGCCCCACUCAUCUCCCCGCUCGCGAAAGAUGCCGCAGUCCCACGCUGAUGCCGACCCUGGGGAGUCAUCCGGCCAAAGUCGUUGCUUCAACGAAAAAGCGGAUGCCGGGCCCCGGGCUGACUCUCUACCCAACUCCUAACUCGCGAGGCUCACCCCUGGGAAGCCAAGGAGUGGUCGGGCCCCGCUAACCUCGUCGCAUCUUCCGGACUGGAGGCCUGGGGGAGGCCUGGGGAAGGAGGUGGGAGAGGAGUCGGGCGGUCCCGGAUGGAGGGGAUGGGGCAGCGGGGCGUCCAACUGGAUUUACAGCCUGAAUUUCUUUUGCGUUCCUGUGAGCCCCUUACCUCCCCAGAAUACUGAUUAAUCAGGGAAUGCCUGCUGGUUUUUCAACUUUAUUGUGUUUGUGUUUAACAGCUAUAUUGCGUUAUAACUGGCAUACAAUAAACCACACAUUUAAAGUGUACGCGUUAAGUUUUGACCUAUGUAUACAACCAUGCAGCCAUCACCACAAUUAAAACAAUGAAUUAAACCACCACUACCCAGUAUCCUC
rnacentral:lncRNA from 1 species